ACGCUCGACACCUACGGAAGGCAGCAGUGGGGAAUAUUGGGCAAUGGGCGCAAGCCUGACCCAGCAACGCCGCGUGAAGGAAGAAGGCUUUCGGGUUGUAAACUUCUUUUGUCAGGGAAGAGCAGAAGACGGUACCUGACGAAUAAGCCACGGCUAACUACGUGCCAGCAGCCGCGGUAAUCUGAGCGGGCUGGCAAGGC
rnacentral:rRNA from 1 species